UACGUAGGGUGCGAGCGUUGUCCGGAAUUACUGGGCGUAAAGAGUGUGUAGGCGGUGCUCUAAGUUCGGUGUGAAAUCUCCUGGCUCAACUGGGAGGGUGCGCCGGAAACUGGAGUGCUUGAGCGUGGGAGAGGAAAGCGGAAUUCCUGGUGUAGCGGUGAAAUGCGUAGAUAUCAGGAGGAACACCUGUGGUGUAGACGGCUUUCUGGACCAUAGCUGACGCUGAGACACGAAAGCGUGGGUAGCAAACAGG
rnacentral:rRNA from 1 species